AGUAACGGCGAGUGAAGCGGUAACAGCUCAAAUUUGAAAUCUGGCCUCACGGUCCGAGUUGUAAUUUGUAGAGGAUGCUUCGAGCAUGGUCUGGCCUAAGUUCCUUGGAACAGGACGUCAUAGAGGGUGAGAAUCCCGUAUGCGGCCAGGUGCCUACGCUCAUGUGAAGCUCCUUCGACGAGUCGAGUUGUUUGGGAAUGCAGCUCAAAAUGGGUGGUAAAUUUCAUCUAAAGCUAAAUAUUGGCCAGAGACCGAUAGCGCACAAGUAGAGUGAUCGAAAGAUGAAAAGCACUUUGGAAAGAGAGUUAAACAGUACGUGAAAUUGUUGAAAGGGAAGCGCUUGCAACCAGACUUGCGCGCGGCCGAUCAUCCGGUGUUCUCACCGGUGCACUCGGCCGUGCUCAGGCCAGCAUCGGUUUUGGCGGCUGGAUAAAGGCCCUAGGAAUGUAGCUCCUCUCGGGGAGUGUUAUAGCCUAGGGUGCAAUGCAGCCUGCUGGGACCGAGGACCGCGCUUCGGCUAGGAUGCUGGCGUAAUGGUUGUAAGCGGCCCGUCUUGAAACACGGACCAAGGAGUCUAACAUCUAUGCGAGUGUUUGGGUGUCAAACCCAUACGCGUAAUGAAAGUGAACGGAGGUGAGAACCCUUAAGGGUGCAUCAUCGACCGGUCCUGAAGUUUACGGAAGGAUCUGAGUAAGAGCAUAGCUGU
rnacentral:rRNA from 1 species